UAGGGAGCUAGGUGAGAGGCAGGAUCAGACAGGCAAUCAUCAACAACAUACUCUGAAUUUAAGAAUGACCACCACACAGUAAGAGAACUGAAAUUUGGAGGAAAACUUCAGCUCUGUGUGUGUUAGCCAGAGUGAUGUCAAUCAACUAAAGGUCUCAAAGCUGAGAGACAACUUGCAUGGGAAAAGAGCAACAGAAAAAUCUGAAACAUCAGGUCUUCAUUGUUUUGUUUUGCCCUUCUCUUCCAUAGACAAGGUAGGAAAAGUCUGCCAUUACUGAAUAUAUUCAAUACUACCCUGAGAGAAGAAAUGAGGUGCUCAUGGGAAAAAAGUCAAAUAUAUGAUUGUUGCUUAAUUUAAGCUUGGUGGUCAUUUUCAUAGCCAGUAUAAACUGACAGAGCCUCAGUAUUUCAAACAGACUGUACCUUUUUUUUUUUUCCAAGACCUCUAAUGAUAUCAGAAGCUAACUCUGCCAUGGAAAAG
rnacentral:lncRNA from 1 species